AGUGAACGCUGGCGGUAGGCCUAACACAUGCAAGUCGAACGGUAACGCGGGGCAACCUGGCGACGAGUGGCGAACGGGUGAGUAAUGUAUCGGAACGUGCCCAGUUGUGGGGGAUAACUGCUCGAAAGAGCAGCUAAUACCGCAUACGACCUGAGGGUGAAAGCGGGGGAUCGCAAGACCUCGCGCAAUUGGAGCGGCCGAUAUCAGAUUAGGUAGUUGGUGGGGUAAAGGCUCACCAAGCCAACGAUCUGUAGCUGGUCUGAGAGGACGACCAGCCACACUGGGACUGAGACACGGCCCAGACUCCUACGGGAGGCAGCAGUGGGGAAUUUUGGACAAUGGACGCAAGUCUGAUCCAGCCAUGCCGCGUGCGGGAAGAAGGCCUUCGGGUUGUAAACCGCUUUUGUCAGGGAAGGAACGCUCUGGGUUAAUACCUCGGGGUAAUGACGGUACCUGAAGAAUAAGCACCGGCUAACUACGUGCCAGCCGCCGCAGUAAGAC
rnacentral:rRNA from 1 species